rnacentral:rRNA from 1 species
UUCCGGUUGAUCCUGCCGGACCUGACUGCUAUCGGAUUGAUUCUAAGCCAUGCGAGUCAUUGUAGCAAUACAAGGCAUACGGCUCAGUAACGCGUAGUCAACCUAACCUAUGGACGGGAAUAACCUCGGGAAACUGAGAAUAAUGCCCGAUAGAACAUUAUGCCUGGAAUGGUUUAUGUUCCAAAUGAUUUAUCGCCGUAGGAUGGGACUGCGGCCUAUCAGUUUGUUGGUGAGGUAAUGGCCCACCAAGACUAUUACAGGUACGGGCUCUGAGAGGAGUAGCCCGGAGAUGGGUACUGAGACACGGACCCAGGCCCUAUGGGGCGCAGCAGGCGAGAAAACUUUGCAAUGUGCGAAAGCACGACAAGGUUAAUCCGAGUGGUUUCUGCUAAAGGAACCUUUUGUCAGUCCUAGAAACACUGAUGAAUAAGGGGUGGGCAAGUUCUGGUGUCAGCCGCCGCGGUAAAACCAGCACCUCAAGUGGUCAGGAUGAUUAUUGGGCCUAAAGCAUCCGUACCGGCUCUGUAAGUUUUCGGUUAAAUCUGUACGCUCA